CUUUAUACCGUGAAACUGCGAAUGGCUCAUUAAAUCAGUUAUCGUUUAUUUGAUAGUACCUUACUACAUGGAUACCUGUGGUAAUUCUAGAGCUAAUACAUGCUAAAAACCCCGACUUCGGGAGGGGUGUAUUUAUUAGAUAAAAAACCAAUGCCCCUCGGGGCUCCUUGGUGAUUCAUAAUAACUUAACGAAUCGCAUGGCCUUGCGCCGGCGAUGGUUCAUUCAAAUUUCUGCCCUAUCAACUUUCGAUGGUAGGAUAGUGGCCUACCAUGGUGGCAACGGGUAACGGGGAAUUAGGGUUCGAUUCCGGAGAGGGAGCCUGAGAAACGGCUACCACAUCCAAGGAAGGCAGCAGGCGCGCAAAUUACCCAAUCCCGACACGGGGAGGUAGUGACAAUAAAUACUGAUACGGGGCUCUUUUGGGUCUCGUAAUUGGAAUGAGAACAAUCUAAAUCCCUUAACGAGGAACAAUUGGAGGGCAAGUCUGGUGCCAGCAGCCGCGGUAAUUCCAGCUCCAAUAGCGUAUAUUAAAGUUGUUGCAGUUAAAAAGCUCGUAGUUGAACCUUGGGUUCGGCUGGCCGGUCCGCCUCACCGCGAGUACUGGUCCGGCUGGACCUUUCCUUCUGGGGAACCUCAUGGCCUUCACUGGCUGUGGGGGGAACCAGGACUUUUACUGUGAAAAAAUUAGAGUGUUCAAAGCAGGCCUUUGCUCGGAUACAUUAGCAUGGAAAUAAUAGAAUAGGACGUGCGGGUUCUAUUUUGUUGGUUUCUAGGACCGCCGUAAUGAUUAAUAGGGAUAGUCGGGGGCGUCAGUAUUCAGCUGUCAGAGGUGAAAUUCUUGGAUUUGCUGAAGACUAACUACUGCGAAAGCAUUCGCCAAGGAUGUUUUCAUUAAUCAGGGAACGAAAGUUAGGGGAUCGAAGACGAUUAGAUACCGUCGUUGUCUUAACCAUAAACUAUGCCGACUAGGGAUCGGGCGGCGUUUCUAUUGCCGAACUAGGGAUCGGGCGGCGGUUUCUUAUUAUGACCCGCUCGGCACCUUAACGGAGAAAAUCAAAGUUUUUGGGUUCUGGGGGGGAGGUAUGGUCGCAAGGCUGAAAACUUAAAGAAAAUUGACGGAAGGGCACCACAAGGCGUGGAGCCUGCGGCUUUAAUUUGACUCAAACACGGGGAAACUCACCAGGUCCAGACAAAAUAAGGAUUGACAGAUUGAGAGCUCUUUCUUGAUCUUUUGGAUGGUGGUGCAUGGCCGUUCUUAGUUGGUGGAGUGAUUUGUCUGCUUAAUUGCGAUAACGAACGAGACCUCGGCCCUUAAAUAGCCCGGUCCGCGUCCGCGGGCCGCUGGCUUCUUAGGGGGACUAUCGGCUCAAGCCGAUGGAAGUGCGCGGCAAUAACAGGUCUGUGAUGCCCUUAGAUGUUCUGGGCCGCACGCGCGCUACACUGACAGGGCCAGCGAGUACAUCACCUUGGCCGAGAGGCCCGGGUAAUCUUGUUAAACCCUGUCGUGCUGGGGAUAGAGCAUUGCAAUUAUUGCUCUUCAACGAGGAAUGCCUAGUAGGCACGAGUCAUCAGCUCGUGCCGAUUACGUCCCUGCCCUUUGUACACACCGCCCGUCGCUACUACCGAUUGAAUGGCUCGGUGAGGCCUUCGGACUGGAAACAGGAGGGUUGGCAACGA
rnacentral:rRNA from 1 species